rnacentral:rRNA from 1 species
UACGAAGGGGGCUAGCGUUGUUCGGAAUUACUGGGCGUAAAGCGCACGUAGGCGGAUAUUUAAGUCAGGGGUGAAAUCCCGGGGCUCAACCCCGGAACUGCCUUUGAUACUGGGUAUCUAGAGUAUGGUAGAGGUGAGUGGAAUUCCGAGUGUAGAGGUGAAAUUCGUAGAUAUUCGGAGGAACACCAGUGGCGAAGGCGGCUCACUGGACCAUUACUGACGCUGAGGUGCGAAAGCGUGGGGAGCGAACAGG